GGAAUCUUUGGACGUCUUGCGAAUGGAAAAACAGAAACUGCAGGAUCAGUGUUUGUGUUUGGAGGCGAAACUUAAAAAUGAUGCAGUGAGAGUCCAAACCGUGGAGGAACUAAAAGCUGUGGCUUCGCAUUGGACAGAGAAAUGGCAGCAAGCGGCUUCAGCCCUGCAGACCCUCGAAGGGAGCAACUGCAGGAAUGACAAGGAGUCUGAUUUGUUGCUGACGGCUGAGCUUGAGGCACACAAACAGCAACUGGAGCUGGACAGAAGCCGGAGUCAGACCCCGCUGCACUCAUUUCAUAAGUAUAAAGGUAACCGUGCAUUCAAUUCUGUCUGCAGAUCCGCUCGGCUACCGUAGAUUAAUAAAAUUCUGUGCCCCAGAUGAUAUUUUAUAUAAUUUUAUUCUUCACACGAGUCAAACCAAUGUAAUGUUUGCAGCUGGUGAGGCUCAGGACAAGAACACACAGACGGAGUGAGUGGGUUGUGAUGAGAUUUUCAUUUUCAAAAUGCUUCAUCAGCAAAUGCUCAAAAUGAAAUUCUGUUAUCUGUGUCUCUGUCCACUCAUCAGCUUAUCAGAAUCCUCUUUGUCAUGGGAGUCACCACCAGAUCACCAGAGCAGCCACAACAAAUACACUCAGGUGACAAUGAACACUCAACAUGUGACAGUAAGUUGUAGAACGUUAACUCUCCUCCUGUGUGAUUAACAGGUGUUCAUGGAAAACCCUGAGCUCCAAUGGUUAAAGGUGGAACUUGCAGAAAAAGAGAAACUGCUGAAGGAAAAGACAGAAGCAUUGAUGAGUUUAGAAACGCUGAGAGAGACGGAAAAAAACGAGGCUCGAAUCAGGAUCUGUGCUUUGGAGCUCCAGGUCGGGGAAAAGACCUCUAAAGAGCUUCAUGAUGAUGUUUGGACCACGGACUCGCUGAAGGCCCAGCUAGAAGGUACGAGCGUCGUCUGGCAAAGGCUCGUGUUGGUAACAUAUGAGCGGUCCUCACUGUCUGUCCCGACAUACUGCAUGCUUUCAGAGAGCAGGAGGAGGAUGAGCCAGCUGCAGCAGGAAAAAAUGCUGGCGGUCCAAAGGCUUCAGACCCUUCAACAGAUUUACCAGAUCAAAGCUGAAAAACAAUCUCUCGAAGGCAGUAAAGAAAAACCUUCAUGUCCUGCAGGUCUUGAAACUGACCAGCAGAGGAGGAUGAUCAACGAGCAGUUAAAGAAUCUGUUUAAAGAACGAGAAGAAAAAAAAGCAGGAAAGAUCGACAAUGCGGCAGCAGCAGCAGCAACUCAGACUGACUCUUUCUCACAUCAAGACCAAACCUACACACCUAAAGCCGUGAGAGUAAGCUCCUCUCCUCCAGAGCAAAAUCCACUGAUACAGACUUUAGCAGCUACAUCAAUAUUAACAUGCAUCUGCUCUUUAUUCAGACUCCUGUGGACAGGUGGAGCUGGCAGCUGAGCUCUGGUCUGAUGCCUGUGUACGAGGAGGACGAGGAGAGCGAUGAGCUGCCGGGAGCAGAGGAGGAAGAGCCGGGAGCGGAGGAGGAAGAGCCGGGAGCAGAGGAGGAAGAGCCGGGAGCAGAGGAGGAAGAGCCGGGAGCAGAGGAGGAAGAGCCGGGAGCAGAGGAGGAAGAGCCGGGAGCGGAGGAGGAAGAGCCGGGAGCGGAGGAGGAAGAGCCGGGAGCAGAGGAGGAAGAGCCGGGAGCGGAGGAGGAAGAGCCGGGAGCAGAGGAGGAAGAGCCGGGAGCAGAGGAAAGCCUCCACAACCAGAGACCCGAGACGUCAGCUGUGAGAGCAGCACACGGCACUUUGACGGCAAACAGUGGGAAUCGGCCACAAGGUGACGUGCAUGAAGCUGUGUAGUGUAGUUGUCCUGUGUGUUGUUAAGCUACAGCAUUUCUGCCUCCACUCAAACAGGAACUCAUCCUGCAAAUAUGUCGCACCAAAAUCUAGUUCAUUAACAUUAUUCAUCACGGCUGGUUAAGUUCCUGGUUUGAAUUAGUCAUUCUUUAUACCUUUGCGUUCCAGCUGCUGCAUGUGUAGAACAUUUAUAGAUUCAACAGUCUGACAUAUCACUUGUGUUUUAUGAUUCCGUUGUAUUCUGUUCCUAAAGAUUCAAGGUUCAAGCAGCGGAUCCAGCAUCUAGACGCCACUGGAGAACGAGCGUCUCAGUCUAGUAAUGCUGACCUGGGCUCAGAUGAGUUGGACCUGCAGUGGGAGCCUCGCUUCCUCUGUCCUGAUGGAGUGUUUCUGGCCCAACGUGUCGAGGCCUGCAGCCCCGAUGGCGAUGACGACAAAUGAAGCCUCCUGCACUGGACUGGAACUGGACCGUUGUAUUGCACGGCUGCAGUGUGGUGUGACACCUUCUUGGUGUGAUGCGAGCAUUGUAUGUUUUAUAGCGCAGUUUAAGAGUGAUUAAAAGUCCAACAGCAGCAUUUUAUUAUUGCCAAUAAAGUUCAACAAGCUUACA
rnacentral:lncRNA from 1 species